UACGGAGGGUGCAAGCGUUGCUCGGAAUCACUGGGCGUAAAGCGACCGCAGGCGGUCUGACAAGUCGGAUGUGAAAGCCCUGGGCUCAACUCAGGAAUUGCAUUCGAAACUGGCAGACUCGAGUACGGGAGAGGGGGGUGGAAUUCCUGGUGUAGGGGUGAAAUUCGUUGAUAUCAGGAGGAACACCGGCGGCGAAGGCGGCCCCCUGGCCCGCAACUGACGCUCAUGGUCGAAAGCGUGGGGAGCAAACAGGA
rnacentral:rRNA from 1 species